rnacentral:rRNA from 1 species
GUCUAUGGCCAUACCUCCCUGAACGCACCUGAUCUCAUUUGAUCUCUGAAGCUAAGCAGGGUAGGUCCUGGUUAGUACUUGGAUGGGAGACCACCAUAGAAUACCGGGUCCUGUAGUCU